rnacentral:rRNA from 1 species
GGCUCACACAACGAUGAAGGACGCAGCGAAUUGCGAUACGCAGUAUGACUUGCAGACUUCUGCGAUUUACCAGACCUCUGAACGUAACAAACACACCGCCUCUGCUCGCACGCGGUACUCCCGUUUCAGUGAGCCC